AAUCUAUCAUCUGUAUUUCCGCCGGCGCUCAGCCUCAAGAGCUAAGUUUCCUGUCGCGUGGAUGUGGUCAAAGUGUGCUCAAUGCCAUCCACCGUAAUCUGCAGACAUCCCCCGUGUUCCCAGGCUGUCUGCUCGGCUGCCCGAUGCAGGGCACCAAGAUUGUAGACUGCGCGGCCCUCCUGGAGACCGAUGGAAGCUCUCUGGGUCGACAGAUUACAGCUUCUGCGGCAGCUGGAUCCCCCUACUCCCUUCAUCUCCCUGGGGGACGCCCACUACCCAGGGAGAGGAUGCCUGGAAAUAACAGCUGGGGUGCACAGCGGCCAUAAGAGCUGUCUCCAUCCUUCCAGACCUCUGGACCAUGCUGUUCCGGAGUGAGGACUGUCCCCUGGGAUCUGAGGUGCAGUUUGUCCGAUGAUGGCUGGGAGUGUGUGAAGGUCCAUGCCCCUCUACCUGCCACCAGAGACAGUACACUGCAGGGUGCCAUGAUGUGCUUUUAGUCAGCACAGCAGAUCAUCACGCCCUGUCUCCAGAGACCGCCAAUCUCUUCUGGUGAAUGCGACCUGUAUGAAAGCCGCUGUGGCUGCUCAGGAGGUCAUGGCAGGAACGUCAGCUGAUCUCUGUGUGCUCAGCAAGAGGCUAGAACAAGGUCCUUGAAGGUGCUUGUGGACAUUGGAGGGCCAGGGAGUGGACAAGACCAAACUCGAGGUGAAACUGGAGACACACUCAUCAUCAUGAAACAGCUUUUUACUAUGCUUAGUAGUUGGCUCAGGCAUGGGAGGCACCAGCACACAAAGCCUUGACACCAGUGCCUCAGGGCUAUGUUCUGUUCCUGUGUCCGUCUGCUAGUGGCUGGAAUGACUGGUGCCUAAGAGCUUUUCUGUUGAAUUUAUUGCCAACUUUCUGGUACCUCCCCAACGACCGCAAUAAACCUUAAAAUACAGAUUAA